GAUGAACGCUGGCGGCGUGCCUAAUACAUGCAAGUCGAGCGAACGGUCGAGAAGCUUGCUUCUCUGAUGUUAGCGGCGGACGGGUGAGUAACACGUGGAUAACCUACCUAUAAGACUGGGAUAACUUCGGGAAACCGGAGCUAAUACCGGAUGAUAUUUUGAACCGCAUGGUUCAAAAGUGAAAGACGGUCUUGCUGUCACUUAUAGAUGGAUCCGCGCUGCAUUAGCUAGUUGGUAAGGUAAUGGCUUACCAAGGCAACGAUGCAUAGCCGACCUGAGAGGGUGAUCGGCCACACUGGAACUGAGACACGGUCCAGACUCCUACGGGAGGCAGCAGUAGGGAAUCUUCCGCAAAGGGCGAAAGCCUGACGGAGCAACGCCGCGUGAGUGAUGAAGGUCUUCGGAUCGUAAAACUCUGUUAUUAGGGAAGAACAUAUGUGUAAGUAACUGUGCACAUCUUGACGGUACCUAAUCAGAAAGCCACGGCUAACUACGUG
rnacentral:rRNA from 1 species